AAAACAAAAAAAAAAAAAUCCCGAAACCAAACAAAAAAAAAUAAACUGGCUUAUGACAGCCAAGCGUUCAUAGCGACGUCGCUUUUUUAUCCUUCGAUGUCGGCUUUUCCUAUCAUUGCGAAACAGAAUUCGCCAAGUGUUGGAUUGUUCACCCAAGGGUACGUGGACUGGGUUUAGACCGUCGUGAGACAGGUUAGUUUUAUCCUACUGGUGAUGUGCUGUUGCAAUAGUAAUUCUGCUCAGUACAAGAGGAACCGCAAUUGGCAUUUGCACUUGGCUGAAAAGCCAAUGCUGCGAAGCUACCAUCUGUUGGAUUAUGACUGAACGCCUCCAAGUUAGAAUUCGUGCUAAAACGCAACUAUAAUUACCUCCGGAGAAUCUUAGGCAAAUAAGGAUAGAGAACGGGCUUGCCAGCUCUCCUGCGUCCCAAUGUGCCAAGAGGUGAAACAACACAAGGCACUAAACUAUAUAAGAGUUUAACCCUUCCGGAUUAGAUAGGUC
rfam:Nematostella vectensis strain CH2 x CH6 NEMVEscaffold_71_Cont10164, whole genome shotgun sequence.